rnacentral:rRNA from 1 species
CCCCAGGUCAGGCGGGGAUCCCCGCUGAGUUUAAGCAUAUCAAUAA